rnacentral:rRNA from 1 species
CAUAAUCAUUAGUUUUUUAAUUGAAAACUCGUAUGAAUGGUUGAACAAAAGAAUCACUGUCUCUUUCAGUAAUUUGAAUUUAACUUUUAAGUGAAAAGGCUUAAAUACAUCAAGGGGACGAUAAGACCCUAUAAAGCUUAUAUCAAUAAUUGAAAUUCUUUAGAAUUAAUAAAUAAAAAUUUUAAUUAUUCAUUUUGUUGGGGCGACAUAGAUAUAAAUAAAAAUAACUGUUAAUCAUCCAAACAAUAAUGAUUGAUUCAUAAUUGGUCCUUUAUAAAGAUUAUAAGACAAAGUUACUUUAGGGAUAACAGCGUUAUUCUUUUUGAGAGUUCUAAUCGAAAAAAGAGUUUGCGACCUCGAUGUUGAAUCAUAAAAUCUCUAUAGUGCAGCAGUUAUAGGAG